rfam:Peregrinibacteria bacterium GW2011_GWC2_33_13 TR30_C0012, whole genome shotgun sequence.
UUAACGAAGAGUUUGAUCCUGGCUCAGGAUUAACGCUGGCGGCGUGUCUAAUACAUGCAAGUCGAGCGCUUCGACGUAAGUCGAGGAGCGGCAGACGGGUGAGUAACACGUUGGAACCUGCCCUGAAGUGAGGGAUAAUCCGCCGAAAGGCGGCCUAAUACCGCAUAUGGCCCCGCAAAACGGGGUUAAAGCAGCAAUGCGCUUCAGGAGGGUCCUGCGGCCUAUCAGCUAGUUGGUGAGGUAAUGGCUCACCAAGGCUAUGACGGGUAGCUGGUCUGAGAGGAUGAUCAGCCACAAUGGGACUGAGACAAGGCCCAUACUCCUACGGGAGGCAGCAGUAAGGAAUCUUUCGCAAUGGGCGAAAGCCUGACGAAGCAACGCCGCGUGAUCGAUGAAGCCCGAAAGGGUGUAAAGAUCUUUUCUGGGGGAAUAAUUCUGAAGGUACCCCAGGAAUAAGCACCGGCUAACUCCGUGCCAGCAGCCGCGGUAAUACGGAGGGUGCAAGCGUUAUCCGGAAUCAUUGGGCGUAAAGAGUUCGUAGGCGGCCUUUUAAGUUGGAUGUUAAAUCUUGAAGCUCAACUUCAAGCUUGUAUCCAAAACUGUAAGGCUAGAGAUUUGCAGAGGUACGUGGAAUUCUGUGUGUAGGGGUAAAAUCCGUUGAUACACAGAGGAACACCAAAAGCGAAGGCAGCGUACUGGGCAAAUUCUGACGCUGAGGAACGAAAGCGUGGGGAGCAAACGGGAUUAGAUACCCCGGUAGUCCACGCCGUAAACGUUGGAUACUAGAUGUUGGUUUAAUCGAACGAACCAGUGUCAAAGCUAACGCAUUAAGUAUCCCGCCUGGGGAGUACGGUCGCAAGAUUAAAACUCAAAGGAAUAGACGGGGACCCACACAAGCGGUGGAGCAUGUGGUUUAAUUCGACAAUAAGCGAGGAACCUUACCAAGGCUUGACAUCUCCCGAACCCCGAUGAAAAUUGGGGGUGCCGUUAGGAACGGGAAGACAGGUGCUGCAUGGUUGUCGUCAGCUCGUGCCGUGAGGUGUUCGGUUAAGUCCGUAAACGAGCGCAACCCUUGUCCUGUGUUGAAUCUUUCACAGGAGACUGCCGGCUUCAAGUCGGAGGAAGGUAGGGAUGACGUCAAAUCAGCAUGGCCCUUAUGGGGUAGCUAAGCUGUAAAGUGUAGCCAAUCCCCAAAACCGGUCCAAGUUCGGAUUGAGGGCUGCAACUCGCCCUCAUGAAGCUGGAAUCGCUAGUAACCGCGUAUCAGCCAUGGCGCGGUGAAUAUGUUCCUGGGUCUUGUACUCACCGCCCGUCAAGUCAUGAAAGGUGGGGGUACCUGAAGCACCCCGCUUUGCGGGGUACCACGGUAAAACCACUGAUUGGGGCUAAGUCGUAACAAGGUAUCCGUAGGAGAACCUGCGGAUGGAUCACCUCCUUU